rnacentral:rRNA from 1 species
AACGCAGCGAAGGGCGAUAAGUAAUGUGAAUUGCAGAAUUCAGUGAAUCAUCGAAUCUUUGAACGCACAUUGCGCCCCUUGGUAUUCCGAGGGGCAUGCCUGUUCGAGCGUCAUUUCAACCCUCAAGCUCUGCUUGGUAUUGGGCUACGCCAUCGCGGCAGGCCUUAAAAUUAGUGGCGGUGCCGUCUCGGCUCUAAGCGUAGUAACAAUCUCUCGCUCUGGAGACCUGGCGGUGCUUGCCAGACAACCACCAAUUUUUUAUGGUUGACCUCGGAUCAGGUAGGGAUACCCGCUGAACUUAA